rnacentral:rRNA from 1 species
UACAGAGGGCUCAAGCGUUAUUCGGAUUCAUUGGGCGUAAAGGGUGCGUAGGCGGCGCGGUAAGUCGGGUGUGAAAUCUCGGAGCUUAACUCCGAAACUGCAUUCGAUACUGCCGUGCUUGAGGACUGGAGAGGAGACUGGAAUUUACGGUGUAGCGGUGAAAUGCGUAGAUAUCGGAAGGAAGACCAGUGGCGAAGGCGGGUCUCUGGACAGUUCCUGACGCUGAGGCACGAAGGUCAGGGGAGCAAACGGG